GAUGGCACAACAAGCUUAGGCCUUUUCUUCUUGGCAGUUUUCUAUUUUUUCAGUGUUCUCAACGCGAGUCCAGGUGACUCCGAUUCGAUUUACAAUUAAGCUUCAUAGGAUUUUGGAGAAUUGUUAGAUUGGAAAAUUGGAUCUUAGUGUCCCACUAUUUUCAAAAAGUUCUAAUGUUUUGUUAAUUUAGCCACUGAGCUAACUUGUUUCAAGUUUGGAUUUGUUUCUAUUUUGCGUUUGCUUAAAAUUUUGCUUGGAAUUGUAAUUUCAUUUCGGAAAGGGCGAGAGCUAUUCAUUGUUGGUGGUUGAAAGAGACGAAAAUUACAAUUGAGGUAAAAUAGAAAAAUCA
rnacentral:lncRNA from 1 species